UACGUAGGAGACGAGCGUUGUCCGGAGUUACUGGGCGUAAAGGAUGCGCAGGCGGGCCUGGCCGCGUCGCGAGUGAAAUCUCCUGGCUCAACUGGGAGGGUGGUCGCGAGACGGCUGGGCUUGAGGCUCGGUGAGGGGCGUGGAAUUCCGGGUGGAGCGGUGAAAUGCGCAGAUAUCAGGAGGAACACCGAUGGCGAAGGCAGGUCUCUGGGCCGAUACUGACGUGGAGGAAGCGAAAAGCGUGGGGGAGCGAACAGG
rnacentral:rRNA from 1 species